CCAGACACAACACUGAGACGUAGACCAUUGUAAUAAUGUGGAACGUAAUAGUGCUCCUUCGAUUUUCGUCGGCAGAUGGAUCCACCUAGUUUUUGGAUCAAUGGAAGUGUCUGAUAGUGAAAUAUUAGAUGGAUGAACUACUAGCAGUUGCAGAGGAGAGUUGAAGGUCAGAAGAAGAGGAAAGACAUAGUCAAGCAAGUGAUGACUAACAAGCAUUCUCGUACAUCAUGCUUCGCCAAAGAAUAAAUGUACCGA
rnacentral:lncRNA from 1 species